AUUCUAUGAUGAGGCCACUUCUUUAAUAAUUCUUUGUACCUUUCCCAUGCCUCAACAAUGAGUCAUCAUCCAUUUGUUGGAAAGCAGUGAUCUCGUUCCUCAACUU
rfam:Gossypium hirsutum cultivar TM-1 chromosome 19, whole genome shotgun sequence